CUUGACCUCGGAUCAGGUAGGGAUACCCGCUGAACUUAAGCAUAUCAAUAGCCCGGAGGG
rnacentral:rRNA from 1 species